rnacentral:rRNA from 1 species
UACGUAGGGUGCGAGCGUUAAUCGGAAUUACUGGGCGUAAAGCGUGCGCAGGCGGUCUGUUAAGACAGAUGUGAAAUCCCCGGGCUUAACCUGGGAACUGCAUUUGUGACUGGCAGGCUAGAGUAUGGCAGAGGGGGGUAGAAUUCCACGUGUAGCAGUGAAAUGCGUAGAGAUGUGGAGGAACACCGAUGGCGAAGGCAAUCCCCUGGACCUGUACUGACGCUCAUGCACGAAAGCGUGGGGAGCAAACAGG